rnacentral:rRNA from 1 species
CCUACGGGAGGCUGCAGUGGGGAAUAUUGGACAAUGGGGGCAACCCUGAUCCAGCCAUGCCACGUGUGUGAAGAAGGCCCUCGGGUUGUAAAGCACUUUCAGUGAGGAAGAACGCCUGGUGGUUAAUACCCAUCAGGAAAGACAUCACUCACAGAAGAAGCACCGGCUAACUCCGUGCCAGCAGCCGCGGUAAUACGGAGGGUGCGAGCGUUAAUCGGAAUUACUGGGCGUAAAGCGCGCGUAGGUGGCUUGAUAAGCCGGUUGUGAAAGCCCCGGGCUCAACCUGGGAACGGCAUCCGGAACUGUCAAGCUAGAGUGCAGGAGAGGAAGGUAGAAUUCCCGGUGUAGCGGUGAAAUGCGUAGAGAUCGGGAGGAAUACCAGUGGCGAAGGCGGCCUUCUGGACUGACACUGACACUGAGGUGCGAAAGCGUGGGUAGCAAACAGGAUUAGAUACCCUAGUAGUC